rnacentral:rRNA from 1 species
GACGAACGCUGGCGGCGUGCCUAAUACAUGCAAGUAGAACGCUGAAGAGAGGAGCUUGCUCUUCUUGGAUGAGUUGCGAACGGGUGAGUAACGCGUAGGUAACCUGCCUUGUAGCGGGGGAUAACUAUUGGAAACGAUAGCUAAUACCGCAUAACAAUAGGUGACACAUGUCAUUUAUUUGAAAGGGGCAAUUGCUCCACUACAAGAUGGACCUGCGUUGUAUUAGCUAGUAGGUGAGGUAACGGCUCACCUAGGCGACGAUACAUAGCCGACCUGAGAGGGUGAUCGGCCACACUGGGACUGAGACACGGCCCAGACUCCUACGGGAGGCAGCAGUAGGGAAUCUUCGGCAAUGGGGGCAACCCUGACCGAGCAACGCCGCGUGAGUGAAGAAGGUUUUCGGAUCGUAAAGCUCUGUUGUAAGUCAAGAACGAGUGUGAGAGUGGAAAGUUCACACUGUGACGGUAGCUUACCAGAAAGGGACGGCUAACUACGUGCCAGCAGCCGCGGUAAUACGUAGGUCCCGAGCGUUGUCCGGAUUUAUUGGGCGUAAAGCGAGCGCAGGCGGUUUGAUAAGUCUGAAGUUAAAGGCUGUGGCUCAACCAUUGUUCGCUUUGGAAACUGUCAAACUUGAGUGCAGAAGGGGAGAGUGGAAUUCCAUGUGUAGCGGUGAAAUGCGUAGAUAUAUGGAGGAACACCGGUGGCGAAAGCGGCUCUCUGGUCUGUAACUGACGCUGAGGCUCGAAAGCGUGGGGAGCGAACAGGAUUAGAUACCCUGGUAGUCCACCCCGUAAACGAUGAGUGCUAGGUGUUGGAUCCUUUCCGGGAUUCAGUGCCGCAGCUAACGCAUUAAGCACUCCGCCUGGGGAGUACGACCGCAAGGUUGAAACUCAAAGGAAUUGACGGGGGCCCGCACAAGCGGUGGAGCAUGUGGUUUAAUUCGAAGCAACGCGAAGAACCUUACCAGGUCUUGACAUCCCGAUGCUAUUUCUAGAGAUAGAAAGUUACUUCGGUACAUCGGUGACAGGUGGUGCAUGGUUGUCGUCAGCUCGUGUCGUGAGAUGUUGGGUUAAGUCCCGCAACGAGCGCAACCCCUAUUGUUAGUUGCCAUCAUUCAGUUGGGCACUCUAGCGAGACUGCCGGUAAUAAACCGGAGGAAGGUGGGGAUGACGUCAAAUCAUCAUGCCCCUUAUGACCUGGGCUACACACGUGCUACAAUGGUUGGUACAACGAGUUGCGAGUCGGUGACGGCAAGCUAAUCUCUUAAAGCCAAUCUCAGUUCGGAUUGUAGGCUGCAACUCGCCUACAUGAAGUCGGAAUCGCUAGUAAUCGCGGAUCAGCACGCCGCGGUGAAUACGUUCCCGGGCCU